AUUGAACGCUGGCGGCAGGCCUAACACAUGCAAGUCGAACGAGUGGCGGACGGGUGAGUAAUGUCUGGGAAACUGCCCGAUGGAUGGGGAUAACUACUGGAAACGGUAGCUAAUACCGCAUACCAUCGGAUGUGCCCAGCUGGGAUGGGCUAGGAGGUAGGGUAACGGCUCACCUAGGCGCCGUUCCCUAGCUGGUCUGAGAGGAGGACCAGCAACACUGGAACUGAGACACGGUCCAGACUCCUACGGGAGGCAGCAGUGGGGAAUAUUGCACAAUGGGCGCAAGCCUGAUGCAGCCAUGCCGCGUGUAUGAAGAAGGCCUUCGGGUUGUAAAGUACUUGCAGCGAGGAGGCGUUACUCGCAGAAGAAGCACCGGCUAACUCCGUGCCAGUAGCCGCGGUAAUAC
rnacentral:rRNA from 1 species